rnacentral:rRNA from 1 species
UACGAGGGGGGCAAGCGUUGUUCGGAAUUAUUGGGCGUAAAGGGUGCGUAGGCGGUGCGGUAAGUCUGUUGUGAAAUCUCCGGGCUCAACUCGGAGUCUGCAUCAGAAACUGCCGUGCUGGAGUGUGGGAGAGGUGAGUGGAAUUCCCGGUGUAGCGGUGAAAUGCGUAGAGAUCGGGAGGAACACCUGCGGCGAAAGCGGCUCACUGGGCCAUAACUGACGCUGAUGCACGAAAGCUAGGGGAGCAAACAGG